GAUCAUGGCUCAGGAUGAACGCUAGCUACAGGCUUAACACAUGCAAGUCGAGGGGAAACGAUAUUGGAAGCUUGCUUCCGAUAGGCGUCGACCGGCGCACGGGUGAGUAACGCGUAUCCAACCUGCCCACCACUUGGGGGAUAACCUUGCGAAAGUAAGACUAAUACCCAAUGACGUCUCUAGAAGACAUCUGAAAGAGAUUAAAGAUUUAUCGGUGAUGGAUGGGGAUGCGUCUGAUUAG
rnacentral:rRNA from 1 species